UCCAUCUGUUGCCACCGAAAUAACGUUUGUGAAUGGAAUCGAUGUUUCUUUAAAAAAAUCACUGAGAACAGCAAAUAUUGAUUCACCUUUAGUGUCCGUCUUCAAAGUUCUUGCAAAUAGUAACUCUUCAUGGAUUUCUUCGCCCAUAACAAAUCGAACAUAUGCCAAUAAUAAUGCUUCGUUGCCAGGUAAAGUUGACUCGUCCAGUUGAAUAGAAAAAUGAGUUGUUUGCAGAUAAUCACACAAGAAACUUUCAACAUCAGAGCUCAUUUCAUCAAUACGUCUUUGUACAGUGUUGUUACUCAAGGGAAUUUUUUUUGAGUAUGUCUAAUGAAGAUUUGUGCAGAACAGUUUUUAAGACCUCUUCAACAGCAGGUAAAAUUAACUGUUCUCCAAUGGUGUGCGGUUUUCCAGAUUUUGCUAUGAGUAAUGAGAUAUUGUAAGAUGCCCGCAAGCCAUCAUCAUUGCUUUCAGACGUUGAAGCAAACAUACUGUGCACGGUGCUCUUCCAGCUUUGAUGGUUUCAUGGAGUCAUUGCCCAAAACUUUGUUGCAUAAAAUGCAUGUGGGCAACCGUUUGUCUGCCUGUGAUGGAAGAAAACCAAAUUUUAAAUAUUCAACACUAUACUGACGACACUUCUUCUUAGAUUCGGUCAUGUUUCGUAUCAAUUACCAAUCUGCAAUGUAAACAAUAAAUAAAAAACCGAACAAUCAAA